UUCUCAGUUCGGAUUGUAGGCUGCAACUCGCCUACAUGAAGCUGGAAUCGCUAGUAAUCGCGGAUCAGCAUGCCGCGGUGAAUACGUUCCCGGGCCUUGUACACACCGCCCGUCACACCACGAGAGUUUGUAACACCCGAAGUCGGUGGGGUAACCUUUUUGGAGCCAGCCGCCUAAGGUGGGACAGAUGAUUGGGGUGAAGUCGUAACAAGGUAGCCGUAUCGGAAGGUGCGGCUGGAUCACCUCCUUUCUAUGGAGAAUUGAUGAACGCUGUUCAUCAAUAAAGUUUCCGUGUUUCGUUUUGUUCAGUUUUGAGAGAACUAUCUCUCAUAUAUAAAUGUAUGUUCUUUGAAAACUAGAUAACAGUGUAGCUCAUAUUUUUUAAUUUUUAGUUUGGUUAAGUUAGAAAGGGCGCACGGUGGAUGCCUUGACACUAGGAGUCGAUAAGG
rnacentral:misc_RNA from 1 species